AUUCGACGCUCUGGAAAGCGGCCUUGCUUCGGCAUGGCCCACCGAAGGGGUAACUCCGCGCAAGCAGGAGGAAAGCUCUCAGGUUCCGUGACAGAGGGGGUUCG
rnacentral:ncRNA from 2 species